AGGCAAGAUGUUGGCAUAGCUGAGAUUGAUGACGUCAGCUGUGCCCCAUAUUGCCAUC
rnacentral:pre_miRNA from 1 species